AAGAAAGGCAUCUGUUAGUGUCCUCUGGCCGAUCCGACGACCACGUCUCGAUCUAGAACCCACCCACCCAUACAGGGUGGGGGAUGAGGUAGUGAUCAAAACACUGAAGAAAGGAAAAUCCCAAGGUGACUUUGCAUAUGGCCCACCCACUACCGUGGUCGCAGUAACCAGAACAGCCGUGCUGACUAAACAAUCUUCAACUUGGAUCCACGCCACCCGAGUGAAGCUUGUGAGAGCAAGAGAGGAGGCAGGAACGGAGGCAGACAGCCUUGGCCUUGAAGAAGGACAAGAGGUACUAACGGGGGCAGACAGCCCUGACCUCCAACAAGGCCCAGAGGUACUAACGGAGGCAGACGGCCCUGACCUCCAACAUGAUGAGCUCCUCACUCUUUUCUGGAAAAUGGCUGAAUGUACUGACUAAGAUUGCUUCAAUAAUCUUGUUGAUUUUACCAAUUAGCAGUAUGGGAGAAGUAGCCGCAACUAGCAAGGGCGGCGUCAUCACCUUUUGGUAUAAUUCAUCUAACCCUCACGUAGCUACCUACACCUUUUGUCUUUGUGAUAUAUUGAAAACAUGUUCAUAUUAUAACUACUGUUCCAACAA